UUUGUUGAGCGAAUUUGCUCCGCUGGAGCGAAUUUCCUUAUUUUGCUCCCAUGGUUAAGCUACUUGCUAGGAAGUUUAAUAAAUUGCAAGCUAGUCCCUUAAUUAAACCAUUGGAGUUGCUCUUAUAUCUUUCUCUCUCCUUCCCCUAAAAAUCUCAGUCUGUCUCUCUACCUCCAGAAAAAGGAUUAAUUUCAACUCUCAAAUUCCAGAAAGUUCGUCCGAAAAAUCAGGUGCUCCCCUCUCUCCCCUACUCGUUCUCGACCUAACCCAUGGCAUUGAUCUUCAUCAAAUUCUGUGAAUUUUGUAUCAAAAACUCUAGUAAUUCGUGCUAUUUAGGUUCAAUCAAAAGUUUCGAUUUCAGUUUUGGUUUUUCCUCUAAAUUUCGUGCUAUAAUUUCGCCCAUUUUUACCCUAAUUUUUUCAUCAAUUUCGUUAAAAUUUAUGAUAUUUGACAUAAUAUAAUUGAUUAUCUUCACCGAUUUUUCCAGAUUUCGUGUUUUUUUAGGAUUAUUUCGAAGCCUAAGGAAUAUGCACACAAUUUCAAGUGGAAGGGUCCUCCAAAGCAGGAAAUCUAGAUUUCAUAAGUUUCUUUUAGUAUGUGUAUGUAAAGCUCAAUUGUUAUCUAAAGUUUUUGUUUCUCUUGAUCGUUAAUGGUGCAUUUUCUAUUUGUGUGUUCCUUGUACUUUAUGCUAAGUUGUAAUAUAGUAUGUCUUUUAAUUGAUUUUAGUUAUA